ACUCCUACGGGAGGCAGCAGUGAGGAAUAUUGCGCAAUGGGGGCAACCCUGACGCAGCGACGCCGCGUGAGUGAGGAAGGCCUUCGGGUCGUAAAGCUCUGUCAAGAGGGAAGAAGUGCAUGGUGGUUAAUAUCUGUCAUGUUUGACGGUACCUCUAAAGGAAGCACCGGCUAACUCCGUGCCAGCAGCCGCGGUAAU
rnacentral:rRNA from 1 species